rnacentral:rRNA from 1 species
UCCGGAUUUUAUUGGGUUUAAAGGGUCCGUAGGCGGAUUAAUAAGUCAGUGGUGAAAUCCCCAUCGCUUAACGAUGGAACUGCCCAUUGAUACUGUUAGUCUUGAAUGAGGGUGCAGUGGUUGGAAUGUGUAGUGUAGCGGUGAAAUGCAUAGAUAUUACACAGAACACCGAUUGCGAAGGCAGAUCACUAACCCUAAAUUGACGCUGAGGGACGAAAGCGUGGGGAGCGAACCAGGAUUAGAUACCCUCGGUAG